UGAGGCGUCACUUGGUGCCGUCAACCAGUGGUGAACUUGGCCCGUGGCGAGUGAAAAUGAGCACCAAGCCCGAAAUGAAUCGCCGCAUUGCAGCGGUCGCUAAGAAGAAACGGGCAAAAAAGCCGAAAAACAACAGGCCCCAGGCAAGCAAGGCUCGAGAGGGCAAUGACAACAACUCUGCUAGGGGAAGCUGUACGCGAGACAGUGGCAAGCCCCGCAAUGGCUGCCCUUUAAUAGUAGAUCCAAGGU